rnacentral:rRNA from 1 species
AGUGAACGCCGGCGGUAGGCCUAACACAUGCAAGUCGAACGGCAGCACAGUAAGAGCUUGCUCUUACGGGUGGCGAGUGGCGGACGGGUGAGGAAUACAUCGGAAUCUACUUUUUCGUGGGGGAUAACGUAGGGAAACUUACGCUAAUACCGCAUACGACCUACGGGUGAAAGCAGGGGAUCUUCGGACCUUGCGCGAUUGAAUGAGCCGAUGUCGGAUUAGCUAGUUGGCGGGGUAAAGGCCCACCAAGGCGACGAUCCGUAGCUGGUCUGAGAGGAUGAUCAGCCACACUGGAACUGAGACACGGUCCAGACUCCUACGGGAGGCAGCAGUGGGGAAUAUUGGACAAUGGGCGCAAGCCUGAUCCAGCCAUACCGCGUGGGUGAAGAAGGCCUUCGGGUUGUAAAGCCCUUUUGUUGGGAAAGAAAAGCAGCAGGUUAAUACCCCGCUGUUCUGACAGUACCCAAAGAAUAAGCACCGGCUAACUUCGUG